ensembl:miRNA
GAGUGCUGGGUUCUGUAGGCCAGAGGUCUGAGGUAGUGGCUUUUAGAGCUCAGCAUCUU